AACGGUCUAUACCUGCGGUACCUGCGGAGGGAUCAUUACCGAGUGCGGGCCCUCGCGGCCCAACCUCCCACCCUUGUCUCUAUACACCUGUUGCUUUGGCGGGCCCACCGGGGCCACCUGGUCGCCGGGGGACGUCGUCUCCGGGCCCGCGCCCGCCGAAGCGCUCUGUGAACCCUGAUGAAGAUGGGCUGUCUGAGUACUAUGAAAAUUGUCAAAACUUUUAGCAAUGGAUCUCUAGAU
rnacentral:misc_RNA from 1 species